AAGCCCUUACGGGGAAAGAUUUAUCGCCGAAAGAUCGGCCCGCGUCUGAUUAGCUAGUUGGUGAGGUAAUGGCUCACCAAGGCGACGAUCAGUAGCUGGUCUGAGAGGAUGAUCAGCCACAUUGGGACUGAGACACGGCCCAAACUCCUACGGGAGGCAGCAGUGGGGAAUAUUGGACAAUGGGCGCAAGCCUGAUCCAGCCAUGCCGCGUGAGUGAUGAAGGCCCUAGGGUUGUAAAGCUCUUUUGUGCGGGAAGAUAAUGACGGUACCGCAAGAAUAAGCCCCGGCUAACUUCGUGCCAGCAGCCGCGGUAAUACGAAGGGGGCUAGCGUUGCUCGGAAUCACUGGGCGUAAAGGGUGCGUAGGCGGGUCUUUAAGUCAGGGGUGAAAUCCUGGAGCUCAACUCCAGAACUGCCUUUGAUACUGAAGAUCUUGAGUUCGGGAGAGGUGAGUGGAACUGCGAGUGUAGAGGUGAAAUUCGUAGAUAUUCGCAAGAACACCAGUGGCGAAGGCGGCUCACUGGCCCCGAUACUGACGCUGAGGCACGAAAAGCGUGGGGAGCAAACAGGGAUUAGAUA
rnacentral:rRNA from 1 species